rnacentral:rRNA from 1 species
AACGAACGCUGGCGGCAGGCUUAACACAUGCAAGUCGAACGGGUGUAGUAAUACAUCAGUGGCAGACGGGUGAGUAACACGUGGGAACCUUCCUAGGGGUACGGAACAACUCAGGGAAACUUGAGCUAAUACCGUAUACGUCCGUGAGGAGAAAGAUUUAUCGCCCUUAGACGGGCCCGCGUCGGAUUAGCUAGUUGGUGGGGUAACGGCCUACCAAGGCGACGAUCCGUAGCUGAUCUUAGAGGAUGAUCAGCCACACUGGGACUGAGACACGGCCCAGACUCCUACGGGAGGCAGCAGUGGGGAAUCUUGGACAAUGGGCGAAAGCCUGACGCAGCCAUGCCGCGUGGAUGAUGAAGGUCUUAGGAUUGUAAAAUCCUUUCACCGGUGAAGAUAAUGACUGUAGCCGGAGAAGAAGCCCCGGCUAACUUCGUGCCAGCCGCCGCGGUAA